rnacentral:tRNA from 1 species
GCCUCCAUAGCUCAAUUGGUAGAGCAGUGCGCUCUUAACGCAUUGGUUGCAGGUUCGAGUCCUGCUGGGGGCACCA